GAUGAACGCUGGCGGCGUGCCUAACACAUGCAAGUCGAGCGGCAGCGAGGGGUGCUUGCACCCUGUCGGCGAGCGGCGGACGGCUGAGUAACGCGUGGGAACGUGCCCCAAAGUGAGGAAUAACUGCCCGAAAGGGUAGCUAAUACCGCAUAUUAUCUUCGGAUCAAAGGAUUUAUCCGCUUUGGGAGCGGCUCGCGUCGGAUUAGGUAGUUGGUGAGGUAAUGGCUCACCAAGCCGACGAUCCGUAGCUGGUCUGAGAGGAUGACCAGCCAGACUGGAACUGAGACACGGUCCAGACUCCUACGGGAGGCAGCAGUGAGGAAUCUUCCAAAAUGGGCGAAAGCCUGAUGGAGCAACGCCGCGUGAAGGACGAAGGCCUUCGGGUUGUAAACUGCUUUUAUAAGUGAGGAAUAUGACGGUAACUUAUGAAUAAGGAUCGGCUAACUACGUG
rnacentral:rRNA from 1 species